rnacentral:rRNA from 1 species
GACGAACGCUGGCGGCGUGCUUAACACAUGCAAGUCGAACGAUGAAGCUGGAGCUUGCUCCGGUGGAUUAGUGGCGAACGGGUGAGUAACACGUGAGCAAUCUGCCCUUGACUCUGGGAUAACUGCGGGAAACUGUAGCUAAUACCGGAUACGAGGCUCGAAGGCAUCUUCGGGUCUGGAAAGAAUUUCGGUCAAGGAUGAGCUCGCGGCCUAUCAGCUUGUUGGUGAGGUAAUGGCUCACCAAGGCGACGACGGGUAGCCGGCCUGGGAGGGUGACCGGCCACACUGGGACUGAGACACGGCCCGGACUCCUACGGGAGGCAGCAGUGGGGAAUACUGCACAAUGGGCGAAAGCCUGAUGCAGCAACGUCGCGUGAGGGAUGAAGGCCUUCGGGUUGUAAACCUCUUUUAGCAGGGAAGAAGCGAAAGUGACGGUACCUGCAGAAAAAGCACCAGCUAACUACGUGCCAGCCGCCGCCGUAA